rnacentral:rRNA from 1 species
GACGAACGCUGGCGGCGUGCUUAACACAUGCAAGUCGAACGGAAAGGCCCUGCUUUUGUGUGGUGCUCGAGUGGCGAACGGGUGAGUAACACGUGAGUAACCUGCCCUUGACUUUGGGAUAACUUCAGGAAACUGGGGCUAAUACCGGCUAGGAGCUCCUGCUGCAUGGUGGGGGUUGGAAAGUUUCGGCGGUUGGGGAUGGACUCGCGGCUUAUCAGCUUGUUGGUGGGGUAGUGGCUUACCAAGGCUUUGACGGGUAGCCGGCCUGAGAGGGUGACCGGCCACAUUGGGACUGAGAUACGGCGCAGACUCCUACGGGAGGCAGCAGUGGGGAAUAUUGCACAAUGGGCGGAAGCCUGAUGCAGCAACGCCGCGUGCGGGAUGAAGGCCUUCGGGUUGUAAACCGCUUUCGCCUGUGACGAAGCGUGAGUGACGGUAAUGGGUAAAGAAGCACCGGCUAACUACGUG